rnacentral:misc_RNA from 1 species
GAUGAAGAACGCAGCGAAAUGCGAUACGUAAUAUGAAUUGCAGAAUUCAGUGAAUCAUCGAGUCUUUGAACGCACAUUGCGCCCCCUGGUAUUCCGGGGGGCAUGCCUGUCCGAGCGUCAUUGCUGCCCUCAAGCACGGCUUGUGUGUUGGGCCUCCGUCCUCCUCCCGGGGGACGGGCCCGAAAGGCAGCGGCGGCACCGCGUCCGGUCCUCGAGCGUAUGGGGCUUCGUCACCCGCUCUUGUAGGCCCGGCCGGCGCUUGCCGACACAUCAAUCUUUUUUCCAGGUUGACCUCGGAUCAGGUAGGGAUACCCGCUGAACUUAAGCAUAUCAAUAAGCGGAGGA